GUCUUUGUAGUACACUAAGUAUACUGGUCUUGUAAACCAGAGAUGGAGAACAAAUACCUCCCUGAGACU
rnacentral:tRNA from 1 species